GAUGAACGCUGGCGGCGUGCCUAAUACAUGCAAGUCGAGCGAACAGAUGAGGAGCUUGCUCCUCUGACGUUAGCGGCGGACGGGUGAGUAACACGUGGAUAACCUACCUAUAAGACUGGGAUAACUUCGGGAAACCGGAGCUAAUACCGGAUAAUAUAUUGAACCGCAUGGUUCAAUAGUGAAAGACGGUUUUGCUGUCACUUAUAGAUGGAUCCGCGCCGCAUUAGCUAGUUGGUAAGGUAACGGCUUACCAAGGCAACGAUGCGUAGCCGACCUGAGAGGGUGAUCGGCCACACUGGAACUGAGACACGGUCCAGACUCCUACGGGAGGCAGCAGUAGGGAAUCUUCCGCAAUGGGCGAGAGCCUGACGGAGCAACGCCGCGUGAGUGAUGAAGGUCUUCGGAUCGUAAAACUCUGUUAUUGGGGAAGAACAAAUGUGUAAGUAACUAUGCACGUCUUGACGGUACCUAAUCAGAAAGCCACGGCUAACUACGUG
rnacentral:rRNA from 1 species